GACGAACGCUGGCGGCGUGCAUAACACAUGCAAGUGGAGCGACCGGUGAAACCUUUGGGUUUCAACUCAAACCGGGAGCCGCGAACGGGUGAGUAACACGUGGGCAAUCUGCCCCGUCGAUUGGGAUAGCCCGGGGAAACCCGGAUUAAUACCGAAUGUGAUCGCCUCCCUGGGGGGAGGUGAGGAAAGGAAGCUUCGGCCUCCGCGACGGGAUGAGCCCGCGACCGAUUAGCUUGUUGGUAAGGUAACGGCUUACCAAGGCGACGAUCGGUAGCUGGUCUGAGAGGACGAUCAGCCACACUGGGACUGAGACACGGCCCAGACUCCUACGGGAGGCUGCAGUGGGGAAUCUUGCGCAAUGAGCGAAAGCUUGACGCAGCAACGCCGCGUGAGGGAAGACGGCCUUCGGGUUGUAAACCUCUUUCAGGGAAGAGUAAGGCUCGUGAGUUAAGAGCUCACCGGGUUGAAGGUAUUCCCAGAAGAAGCACCGGCUAACUACGUGCCAGCCGCCGCUGUAA
rnacentral:rRNA from 1 species